ACGGGUGAGUAACGCGUGGGAACGUGCCCUUCGGUUCGGAAUAACUCAGGGAAACUUGAGCUAAUACCGGAUACGCCCUUUUGGGGAAAGGCUUGACUGCCGAAGGAUCGGCCCGCGUCUGAUUAGCUUGUUGGUGAGGUUAUGGCUCACCAAGGCGACGAUCAGUAGCUGGUCUGAGAGGAUGAUCAGCCACACUGGGACUGAGACACGGCCCAGACUCCUACGGGAGGCAGCAGUGGGGAAUAUUGGACAAUGGGGGCAACCCUGAUCCAGCCGUGCCGCGUGAGUGAUGACGGCCUUAGGGUUGUAAAGCUCUUUUCUCCGGGACGAUAAUGACGGUACCGGAGGAAUAAGCCCCGGCUAACUUCGUGCCAGCAGCCGCGGUAAUACGAAGGGGGCUAGCGUUGCUCGGAAUCACUGGGCGUAAAGGGCGCGUAGGCGGCUGAUUUAGUCGAGGGUGAAAGCCCGUGGCUCAACCACGGAAUGGCCUUCGAUACUGGUUGGCUUGAGACCGGAAGAGGACAGCGGAACUGCGAGUGUAGAGGUGAAAUUCGUAGA
rnacentral:rRNA from 1 species